rnacentral:rRNA from 1 species
UACGGGGGGGGCAAGCGUUGUUCGGAAUUACUGGGCGUAAAGGGCUCGUAGGUGGCCAACUAAGUCGGACGUGAAAUCCCUCAGCUUAACUGGGGAACUGCGUCCGAUACUGGAUGGCUUGAGUUUGGGAGAGGGAUGCGGAAUUCCAGGUGUAGCGGUGAAAUGCGUAGAUAUCUGGAGGAACACCGGUGGCGAAGGCGGCAUCCUGGACCAACACUGACACUAAGGAGCGAAAGCCAGGGGAGCAAACGGG